rnacentral:rRNA from 1 species
ACCAGCACCCCGAGUGGUCGGGACGAUUAUUGGGCCUAAAGCAUCCGUAGCCGGUUCUUCAAGUCUUCCGUUAAAUCCAGCCGCUCAACGGAUGGGCUGCGGAAGAUACUAAAGGACUAGGAGGCGGGAGAGGCAAGCGGUACUCAGUGGGUAGGGGUAAAAUCCUUUGAUCCAUUGAAGACCACCAGUGGCGAAGGCGGCUUGCCAGAACGCGCUCGACGGUGAGGGAUGAAAGCUGGGGGAGCAAACC